CUCCCCAUCAUUUCCCUUCUCUCUCUUUCUUACACAACAAACAGUAGUCACCUAUCAACACCCAAUGGAACCAACAUCACCCAACUUUCUAUAUAUACACACACACAUAUAUAUGGUAUAGAUUGGUGGGGAUCUCCUACAAGUUUCAACCCAUACAAAUUUGUUCCUGUUUAAUUGUUCUCAGAAUCAUACAACACAAAUAUCAAACUCCCAAUUUCAAACUAAGACAGAGAUAAAAAGAGAAUAUGUGCAGCAGCAGCACCAGUAGAGAUUGGAUUCGAUCUCGCCCCAUCUGUGCUUCUUCUAAGAGAAAGCACAGAUCAUCAAGACUUCAAAUUUACAGGCUGUCCAGGAGAAGAUGUGAUCAGUCGAAGAUGGAAUUGAAGAACUUGAAGCUGUACUUGGAGAACCAGAGCAUCAUUCAAGAAAACCAGAAGCUUAGACAAAAAGCUAAUCUUCUGCACCAGGAGAACCUAGCAUUGAUGAGCCAGUUCCAAAACAUUAGUCUCCGUGGAUUCUCUACCUCACUUUUUCUCCUCCUUCAAAAACACUGAUCUCCAUUUCCUCUCUCUCUUUUUUCUUUUCUCUUUUUCUUUUUCAUGUUGAAAAAAGAAAUAAUAAGAAUGGAUUUGCCAGACUUAA